rnacentral:rRNA from 1 species
AUCAAGGCUGAGGCGUGAUGACGAGGCACUACGGUGCUGAAGCAACAAAUGCCCUGCUUCCAGGAAAAGCCUCUAAGCAUCAGGUAACAUCAAAUCGUACCCCAAACCGACACAGGUGGUCAGGUAGAGAAUACCAAGGCGCUUGAGAGAACUCGGGUGAAGGAACUAGGCAAAAUGGUGCCGUAACUUCGGGAGAAGGCACGCUGAUAUGUAGGUGAAGCGACUUGCUCGUGGAGCUGAAAUCAGUCGAAGAUACCAGCUGGCUGCAACUGUUUAUUAAAAACACAGCACUGUGCAAACACGAAAGUGGACGUAUACGGUGUGACGCCUGCCCGGUGCCGGAAGGUUAAUUGAUGGGGUCAGCCGCAAGGCGAAGCUCUUGAUCGAAGCCCCGGUAAACGGCGGCCGUAACUAUAACGGUCCUAAGGUAGCGAAAUUCCUUGUCGGGUAAGUUCCGACCUGCACGAAUGGCGUAAUGAUGGCCAGGCUGUCUCCACCCGAGACUCAGUGAAAUUGAACUCGCUGUGAAGAUGCAGUGUACCCGCGGCAAGACGGAAAGACCCCGUGAACCUUUACUAUAGCUUGACACUGAACAUUGAGCCUUGAUGUGUAGGAUAGGUGGGAGGCUUUGAAGUGUGGACGCCAGUCUGCAUGGAGCCGACCUUGAAAUACCACCCUUUAAUGUUUGAUGUUCUAACGUGGACCCGUGAUCCGGGUUGCGGACAGUGUCUGGUGGGUAGUUUGACUGGGGCGGUCUCCUCCUAAAGAGUAACGGAGGAGCACGAAGGUUGGCUAAUCCUGGUCGGACAUCAGGAGGUUAGUGCAAUGGCAUAAGCCAGCUUGACUGCGAGCGUGACGGCGCGAGCAGGUGCGAAAGCAGGUCAUAGUGAUCCGGUGGUUCUGAAUGGAAGGGCCAUCGCUCAACGGAUAAAAGGUACUCCGGGGAUAACAGGCUGAUACCGCCCAAGAGUUCAUAUCGACGGCGGUGUUUGGCACCUCGAUGUCGGCUCAUCACAUCCUGGGGCUGAAGUAGGUCCCAAGGGUAUGGCUGUUCGCCAUUUAAAGUGGUACGCGAGCUGGGUUUAGAACGUCGUGAGACAGUUCGGUCCCUAUCUGCCGUGGGCGCUGGAGAACUGAGGGGGGCUGCUCCUAGUACGAGAGGACCGGAGUGGACGCAUCACUGGUGUUCGGGUUGUCAUGCCAAUGGCACUGCCCGGUAGCUAAAUGCGGAAGAGAUAAGUGCUGAAAGCAUCUAAGCACGAAACUUGCCCCGAGAUGAGUUCUCCCUGAGACUUUAAGUCUCCUGAAGGAACGUUGAAGACGACGACGUUGAUAGGCCGGGUGUGUAAGCGCAGCGAUGCGUUGAGCUAACCGGUACUAAUGAACCGUGAGGCUUAACCUUACAACGCCGAAG